UACGGAGGGUGCAAGCGUUGUUCGGAAUCAUUGGGCGUAAAGCGCGUGUAGGCGGUUGCCUAAGUCUGGUGUGAAAGCCCGGGGCUCAACCCCGGAAGUGCACUGGAUACUGGGUAACUAGAGGACGAGAGAGGAAAGUGGAAUUCAUGGUGUAGGGGUGAAAUCCGUAGAUAUCAUGAGGAACAUCUGUGGCGAAGGCGACUUUCUGGCUCGUUUCUGACGCUGAGACGCGAAAGCGUGGGGAGCAAACAGG
rnacentral:rRNA from 1 species